rnacentral:rRNA from 1 species
AGGGUGACAGGUGGUGCAUGGUUGUCGUCAGCUCGUGUCGUGAGAUGUUCGGUUAAGUCCGCUAACGAGCGCAACCCUCGCUGUGUGUUACAAGUGUCACACGGAACUGCCGGUCAUAAACCGGAGGAAGGUGGGGAUGACGUCAAGUCAGCAUGGCCUUUAUAUCCUGGGCUACACACACGCUACAAUGGGAAGGGACAAUAGGUUGCGAAGCCGCGAGGCGGAGCCAAUCCAGCAAAACUUCCCUCAGUUCAGAUUGCAGGCUGCAACUCGCCUGCAUGAAGUUGGAGUUGCUAGUAAACGCAGGUCAGCCAUACUGCGUUGAAUACGUUCCCGGGGCUU